GACGAAGGGGGCUAGCGUUGUUCGGAAUUACUGGGCGUAAAGCGCGUGUAGGCGGUUGCCAAAGUCGGGUGUGAAAGCCUUGAGCUAACUCAAGAAUUGCACUCGAUACUUGGUGACUAGAGGACCGGAGAGGAUAGUGGAAUUCCCAGUGUAGUGGUGAAAUACGUAGAGAUUGGGAAGAACACCAGUGGCGAAGGCGGCUAUCUGGACGGUUUCUGACGCUAAGACGCGAAAGCGUGGGGAGCAAACAGG
rnacentral:rRNA from 1 species